AUUUUAGUGCUUAUGUUCAAAAUACCCAGGUAGUGAGUGGAAUAUAGUUGUGAAGUAAAUAUAGUUUUCCAGAAUGAAAACUAAAGAUUCAAUCAAAGAUAGUGAAAAACAGCACUGAAAUACACAAUUACGACAAAACGUUUGCAUGGAUUGCAAUGAUGGGGCCAUCUUUUCCAUGCUAUGCUUUGCUGAUCCGGAACAGAAUGAUAACCAGAGGCAACGAAUCGAGCAAACAUCGAUUCCAUACCAGCCUAACACGGACGGAUGGGUACGAUGGUGGCUCGGGCAGAAAUUAAACAUAGAAGAUGGACAAACUCAUACCAUCUGGAGCUUCAAUGAAAAAGGGACCAACAAAUGCCAUACACAUCAAAUUUGUUGCCAUCGUUUUCGUUGCACUGUACUGCGUUCUCGAAUGCACACGACGCUGGAAGUUGAUAGACGUAAAUCAACUGAAUUUACGAGGAUAAUCUCUUCUGGACUGCAGGUGUGGUAUUCGAGGAACGAGCGUCCAAAUAGCCAGCGUUCACCUACAUGAAGACUUUGUCAUAUGAUGAGAUUCGUUGGUGGUUGAGCCAAAACGUUCUUUCUGUAGGAGAAGUAGUUAUUUAAUCAGAUAGCAAAAACUAGGGCGAGAAAACUCUUUAAAAUUACCAACGUAAUGAAUAAAUCGUCAUGGUACAAGUAAACACAACAUCAAUAAUGAAUAACAAACUAUUUCUUUUUAAUCAUUGACUCUCACUACUGCAAAGUGGCAAUGAUAUUGCUACGUUCAAAGAGGACAGCGAUGAACUAUGAUAGUGUAGGUGGUAAAAAAUGUAGAUGCCUUAGUUGGUCGUGAUUCAAUUUCCACCUGAGAAUUUCAACAAUGUGUACGGCUCAG